GCAGUGGUGGUUCAGUGGUAUGAUCUUCGCCUUCCAUGCGAAGAUACAGGUUUAAUUCCUGGCCAAUGCA
rnacentral:tRNA from 1 species